AAAAAAAGAGCUUAAUAAUAUUAUAUGUUUCGCUUUUUUUUAACUCUAUUAUUCAUUUUUAACCAGCUUAGUACGAUUGGUAACAUUUUUUUUAAUGAUUUUUUUUUUUGUUUAAAGGGUGGUUUUCUUUGGUUUUAUUUUAUUUUAUUUUAUUUUAUUUUUUUUUUUUUGACAGUGUGCUACAUAUAUUAUUACGAUUUUCAAAAAGUACGUUAGCAAAAAUGUUUACUAUAUUUGACACAAAAAAUGGUUACAAAGAAUACGAGCAACUAUUUAUUACUUUGUCUUCAUCAUUUAUGAAGAUGUUAAAACCUAUUUUUACUAUCUUAUUUUUUUUUUUUUUUUUAUUGUUCUUUUUCUGUAUUUUUCUUAAAAAAUUUAUAUUUUGAACAUUCGCUCAUUUUAUUUAUUUUUUACAUGUUUUAUUUACUUUUAUUUUAUUUUUUUUUUACAUGCUUUCCAAUUUUACUAAGUAGUAUGAACGUGUUAAAAAAACAUACAUAUUUUUGUUAUUACUUUAUGUUUAUAUAUACUUAUUUGAUUAAUUAAUUUAAAAAAAAAAAAAUUACUUUUUUAUUUUGACCUAUUUACUUUGUACUCUCGUUAAUUUGUACUCUCGUUAAUUUGUACUCUCGCUAGCUUGUACUCUCGUUAAUUUGUUGCGUUUUUACUUUUUUUUAAACUUGGGAGUAUGCGAAAAUAACAGGCACAGGGGCUUAUGUAAAACCGUUAUACAUACAUAUAUAUAAAUAUAUAUACGUAUGUAUGUAUUUGCACAUAUGUGCUUAUAACAGAUCUCGCUUAUUAAAAUAUAUUUGAGCUACUAAUCUAAAAUACAUCACAUUUCAUUUGUAAAUAAUAUAUAUGCUACAUACAUACGCUCACAUGCCCAUUCCAACCCACAAUGAAUGCAAAUAAUAAAACAGUUUUUGAGUUUAACGACAUAAAAAAGUAUUACAACCAAGUUUUUACAAAAGAAUUGUUGUUAAGGUUUGAAAAAGAAAUAAAUAUAGAAAAAUUAAUUUACUCUUAUUUUUAUUAUUUCAAUUUGUAUAUAGGCAAUAAUGAUAUUGAAAAGGAUACAAUAGAAAGUGACUAUUUAGAUACAGACGAUGAAUUUGCUAUAAUGUAUUCAGAUACAUUUAACAAGAACAUAAAACUAAGAACAUAUGAUGAGAACUCCAUUAGGAAUAAUAAUAAUUAUUUAAUAAAUUAUUUUGACCCUAAUAUAGAUGAAAAUACAUAUGAAAAAAAAAUAGAAAACACUUUUUCCUAUUUAAAUAAUUUUUUAAUAUCAUUAUAUACUGAUUCAAAUGAUAAUAGUAAAAAAUUAAGUGAAAAUGAAAUAAUAAAUAAUAUAGUUUCAACAAUAAAUGUAAAAGAAGGAAAAGAAGAAGAUAAAUUUGUAAUUUUUGAUAUAGAUUUUGAUAAAGUACAAAUAAAUGAAUUAACAUUAAUUAUUAUGGCAUAUAUUAUAAGAAGUAUUUUUAAUUUACCAUUAGGUAGGAAACUCAUAUUUUCAAAUAUAAAUAAUAAUAAUUUAUUAUUAAAAAGUAUAAUUAUUCAAAAUAUAUACAUUCAAAUAUUUGUUUUACGAAAUUUAAAAAAAUAUUUAAUGGAUGAUGGAGAGACAUAUAACAAUGUUCAUCUAAAAAUGAUUAAAAUAUGUCUUUUUAGUAAAUCACUUUGUUCUUUUAAUUAUUCAAAUAAAAUAUUAUUAUAUUUGAUAAAUCAAAACAAACAAAUCCAAAAAAUUUUUGAUUUCUAUUUUCUGAAAAAAUUAACAAAUUCUCUUGAUAAGUCGAAUAAUAUACAACGUUUAAGGUUAUUAGAAUUUAUAACUGAAUGUUUAAAUACAAACAAUGAAACAAUUUGUAAUAUAUUUAGCGUAAACACACAAACAAAUUAUCACAGCGAUUUUGUGAAUAAAAAAAAUGAUAAAGAUUUUGAGGAAUUGAUGAAAAUGUACACUGAAAAUUGGCGUUCUACUUGUGAUGUGUAUGAGCAUGUCAAUAGUGAAGAUGCUAGUGGUGGACAACAGCAAAACAAAACCGACGUGAACGAAUACAUGUUGUCAUUAAUGGAUCCAAUAAUUUUACAAAACAAAAUGCAAAAGUAUAAUCUAACACAAAACGAUGUAUAUAACAUGACUAAAAUAAAUUUAUAUAAAUAUUUAAUUAUUUUAUAUUCUAAAAAUGAUUUAUUAUUAAAAAUAAAUGUAUUGGAAGUAUUCUAUAAGUUAAUACAAACAACUUAUUGCUCUAAUUCCAUUUUGGAAAACUGUUAUUUUUUAUAUAUAGUUUUAGCCGAUUUGUAUUUUUUAAAUGAUGAGCUUCUACAUACUAGCAUUUUGAAUUCUUUAAUUUCUGACACUCAACCAAGUAAAAGCAUUAUACAUGUUCUUAUGAAUGCACAUUCUAAUAUAUUAAUUAAAAAAAUAAUAGAAUAUGUACAAAACGAUUCAAAUGAUAUAAAUGAUGAAAAACUUGUAGUUGGUAUAAAAGCCUUUGGUUAUUUUUUUUCUUUUAAAGAUUAUACUAAAUUAUUUUUAACUUUAAACCCUAACAUUCAUUUAAUAGCAAUAAAUAAAAUUAGUACACAUUCUAAUACAAAUCUAUUAAAACAUGCAAUAAACAUAUGGAUAAAAAUUAUAGCAUCUGAAUGCAUGACUAAAGAAUGGUAUGAAAUGUUAAUACAUAAUUUGUUAUUUAAUAAAAUUAUUAUCAUACUAAAAGAAAUCGACGAUAAUAUUAUUCAUAGAAAUAUAUUCGAUCUUCUAACGAUAAUAAUAAAAUUUGAUAUAAUUAAUUUAAUUCUAAACGAACAAUGGCUAAUCAAAAGCUUACAAGUAAAUUCAAAAAAUG
ensembl:lncRNA